AUACGAGGGGUGCAAGCGUUGUUCGGAAUUACUGGGCGUAAAGGGAGCGUAGGCGGAGAUUCAAGCGGAUUGUACAAUCCCGGGGCCCAACCCCGGCGCUGCAGUCCGAACUGGAGCUCUUGGAUAGUUCAGGGGCAGGCGGUAUUCCUGGGGAAGCGGGGGAAUGCGUAGAGAUUAGGAAGAAAACCGAUGGCGAAGGCAGCCUGCUGGGGACUUAUCGACGCUGAUGCUCGAAAGUGCGGGUAGCAAACAGGAUUAUAUACCCUGGUAGUCCGCCCCGUAAACGAUGCAUACUGGGUGUCCGGGGGUUCCCCCGGGUACCGUAGCCAACGCGUUAAGUAUGCCGCCUGGGGAGUACGUACGCAAGUAUGAAACUUAAAGGAAUUGACGGGG
rnacentral:rRNA from 1 species